UGUUUCUAACUCGGGAGUGAGAAGAGCCUAAUAUAGAAAUUAGGGUUUCAAUCUCUCUCAUGUCACUGUGAAUCAAUCAACGAUGGUAUAACUCACUCUCUCUAACUCUCUGUCUCUCCUCCCUACUAAGUCAGGCUUCGAUCGCCACUGAACCAAAUUGAUAAAAGUUUUUUAGUGAGGCUUUGAAUGAGGCAAUGAUAUGAUUGAUUGAUUGAUGGAUUGUUGUGGCGAGGCGUUUCUGACGCAGCCACCACUCUCUUUCUGAUCCUUUUUUGGUUCCCAUUUCAACUUUUUGCUUUGAGUGAGGCUUUCAUGAAUGAGUUUCUCACUCUCAUUGCCAAUGAUCAUUCAUAUUUCUACUUGGAUAUAUAAGAGCCAGAACUGCUAAGGGCAUUCCAUCCAGCAGCGUAAGCAUCUGGAUAAUCUGGAAUGUGACGGAAUCGGAGUAUCUAAGAGAUGUUCUAAGAUACUCUUAAGAGGUUCCCCCACAAUCACAGGGAGAUAUUACCUGAGGUAGGUUAAAGGCGAUGGGAUUGGAGAGGAGAAGCCUGAGCACCCCAAACUGUUGAGAGAAGUAUCAGACCUUCCAUUUAUUAGAAGAACUUCGGAGAGUUUUUCCUAACUCAGGAGUGGCACAAAAAAAAAUACAAGAUGCCAAUACCAAUAUCUAAAGAUGCACAAACAAAACUCAAGGGAGUUGAUUUUGGUGAAGAAAUGUAAAUGUGGUGGCACAAAAAAAAUACAAGAUGCCAAUACCAAUAUCUAAAGAUGCACAAACAAAACUCAAGGGAGUUGACGAUUUUGGUGAAGAAAUGUAAAUGUGGUGUUGUUACAAACAGAACACAAGAUCCCGAUGUAUAUAUAUAAAGAAGCUAAACAAAUAAGUUGAUUCUGCUGAAGAAUUGGACUACAUGUCAUUUUCUCCCAUCUCAUGGACCUGCUACACACCAGACCAAGUCCAAUGUCACCCUUUUCAUAUUCAGAAGAAUCAUAAAGCCAAAUAACAAUAACUAGUACUCUUAAAUAUGUGAUUCUCCUACCACAACACAUCAUUAUAGUUGUUCCCAAACACGGUUCUCGCCUAUAUUCCUCUCCAGUCAAGCCAAACUUGGUCCCCAACUUUUUUUUGUUGUAAAUUGUGAAUAGGAAGGAAUUAUAUGCCCUUUAAUUGUUGUCUUUUCUUUAUGUUUUGGAUAUGAAUUUCAUUGUUCUCUUUAGUCGAUCAGAAGAACCACAUUUAUGUUUAAUUCACUUCCAUUAAAUCCACAUAUACUUAGUGUGGUUGUAACACAAAUAGUUUGGAUGUGAGGAACCUAGAAAUUUGUUGUGUUUGAGUGAUA